ACACAAGUUAACUUAUGAGCAGACCACAGAAAAACUGGAUUUUGUCUAAGUUCACCAGCCAAGCUUUACCAGGAGCACAAAACAAAGUUAUGCUUAUUUAGUUUGCUGCACCAAGGGAGAACACACCUCGGAGGAACCUGGGAAGCCUCUCAGUAAGGGGGACAGAGAAGGCCUUCCAGGGUUGGGUUUGUGGUGCAUAAUUCUAAGGGGCUGGAGGAACCAGGUGCCGUCUCUUGUUGGUGCUAUGGUCAUGAAGUGGGAGAGUUCAGCAAUCGGAUAUUUCAGAAGUCUUUUUGUUUCCCAAGGAGCCGAGGAACAUAACGAGAUUAGCGAUGUCAUCAGUAACAAAGCAACAACCACUUAGAAGGAAAGAUUUCAGAUGUUUUGUUGUUGGAGCUCUGGGAAUAGGACCCAAGGCUUGGUGCCUGACAGCAAAAGGAGACAUUACUUCAUCCUACGAGCCCAUGAACAACCCUCCCCUGGCAUGCUGUACUACCUUGGAGCCAGCUGACUAUGGAUUGAAACCUUUGCAAACUGAGCCAAAAUAAACCUUCCCUUCUGUAAGUUACAGUUGUUGGAUACUAUGACAAGAUAAUAACUAAGAUAAUACAUACUAUUAUUACAAAUUCAAGCAUCAAGGAAGCACAUAUCCUUCACAUUUGGUUUGUGGAUUAUGGCAUUUAACUCACCCUCUCAUAUUCUGUUUUGUAUUCAGAUAGAACAGACUCUAGCU
rnacentral:lncRNA from 1 species